GGAUUUGCAAAAGAUGGUUCAGUCUUUACCUCAAUACAGUGAACAAAUUGAGAAGCUCUCCCUUCAUGUUGAUAUUGCCGGGAAGCUAAACAGAAUUAUCAGGGAGUCAAGUCUAAAAGAAAUUGGCCAAUUAGAGCAGGACCUUGUUUUCGGAGAUGCAGGAACUAAAGAUUUGAUCAAUUUCCUGAGGGUUCAUCAGGAUGUGACACGGGAAAGCAAGUUACGCUUAUUGAUGAUUUAUGCGUCCAUUCAUCCUGAGAAGUUUGAAAGUGACAAACUUUCCAAGUUAAUGGAGUUAGCGAGAUUGCCCCAAGAUGACAUGAAUGCCGUGUACAAUAUGAGAUUGCUGGAGGGAUCAACAGAUCAUAAGAAAAGCUCCCUGGGACCUUUCUCUCUCAAGUUUGACGUUCACAAGAAGAGGCACGCUGCUAGAAAAGACCGUACCGAUCAAGCAUCAACGUGGCAGUUGUCUCGUUU
rnacentral:misc_RNA from 1 species